rnacentral:rRNA from 1 species
UACGAAGGGGGCUAGCGUUGUUCGGAAUCACUGGGCGUAAAGGGCGCGUAGGCGGCUUUGUAAGUCGGGGGUGAAAGCCUGUGGCUCAACCACAGAAUUGCCUUCGAUACUGCAUGGCUUGAGACCGGAAGAGGUAAGUGGAACUGCGAGUGUAGAGGUGAAAUUCGUAGAUAUUCGCAAGAACACCAGUGGCGAAGGCGACUUGCUGGAUCUUUGCUGACGCUGAGACGCGAAAGCGUGGGGAGCAAACAGG